rnacentral:rRNA from 1 species
ACUCGAGUGGCGAACGGGUGAGUAACACGUGGGUGAUCUGCCCUGCACUUCGGGAUAAGCCUGGGAAACUGGGUCUAAUACCGGAUAGGACGAUGGUUUGGAUGCCAUUGUGGAAAGUUUUUCGGUGUGGGAUGAGCUCGCGGCCUAUCAGUUUGUUGGUGGGGUAAUGGCCUACCAAGGCGUCGACGGGUAGCCGGCCUGAGAGGGUGUACGGCCACAUUGGGACUGAGAUACGGCCCAG